rnacentral:rRNA from 1 species
UGGGGAAUAUUGGACAAUGGGUGAGAGCCUGAUCCAGCCAUGCCGCGUGCAGGAAGAAGGCGUUAUGCGUUGUAAACUGCUUUUUGCCAGGGGAUAAAAAGACCGUGCGCGGUUAAUUGAAGGUACCUGGUGAAUAAGCCACGGCUAACUACGUGCCAGCAGCCGCGGUAAUACGUAGGUGGCAAGCGUUGUCCGGAUUUAUUGGGUUUAAAGGGUGCGUAGGUGGCCCUGUAAGUCAGUGGUGAAAUAUCUCAGCUUAACUGAGAGGGUGCCAUUGAUACUGCAGGGCUUGAGUACAGAUGAGGUAGGCGGAAUUGACGGUGUAGCGGUGAAAUGCAUAGAUAUCGUCAAGAACACCGAUAGCGAAGGCAGCUUACCAAGCUGUAACUGACACUGAGGCACGAAAGUGUGGGGAUCAAACAGGAUUAGAUACCCUAGUAGUCCCUGAG